GCUUUGUGAACCUGUUGUGCAGGGAGAGCAGCUGUAAUUUAAUGGAUUAAACUUGAGCCUAGGAGAUAACAAACUCCAGUUUGCCACACGAAUCUGCCCCUUGGCAACAAUGGGAGCAAGAACUUAUUUCUCAGAGACUGAGAGCUGGAAUGUUCUUUCUUUAGGGACUUUGCUGAAAGACAAGAAAAUCAAUUGUAUAUAUAGCAACACUUCAUUUCAGGCAUGGGCUGAAGCACAUACUUAACAACAAAUCUGUUUCUAUGAAAUGCAGGUGAGCACAAUAAAAAUAAACAAUAAAUUGUCUUGCA
rnacentral:lncRNA from 1 species